rnacentral:sRNA from 1 species
AAUCAAUAGUUGCCCAGUGAAAUCACUGUCUUCGUUGCCUGUAGCUGAUUUUUAAAAGCAUUGGUGCUGAUGAGACCGUCCAAGGACAAGGAAGUCGGAGGCUGAUCAGCUUCUCUCUCUCAGAUUUCCAAGCCAUGGGGUUGAAGAAAGGGAUGUUUUUCAACCCAGACCCUUAUCUGAAGAUUUCCAUUCAGCCUGGGAAACACAGCAUCUUCCCCGCCCUCCCUCACCAUGGACAGGAGAGGAGAUCCAAGAUCAUAGGCAACACCGUGAACCCCAUCUGGCAGGCCGAGCAAUUCAGUUUUGUGUCCUUGCCCACUGACGUGCUGGAAAUUGAGGUGAAGGACAAGUUUGCCAAGAGCCGCCCCAUCAUCAAGCGCUUCUUGGGAAAGCUGUCGAUGCCCGUUCAAAGACUCCUGGAGAGACACGCCAUAGGGUAAACCUGUGACUGAGAUCUUACUAUCACUAGGUUCCCACCAACAGGUCGUGCCCAAAGGUGGCCUGUAGGCUGCAAUAGUAUAGUCUCACAGAGAGUCAAAAUGUUAUCAUUAUAUUUCCUUUGUUUUUCCUACUAAUUAUGUUGCCUGAGCCAACAUAAGUGUUUGUUAGAUUAAACAAACCCAUCCCUUUUCACUUGAUGUGUAACACUGGUUACUUACCCAAGAAAGUAAAAAAUCCUAUUAAAAAUAUUAAACAGUAUUAGAAGAAGCCCUCAAUGGGGCAUUUUUCUGUACAGGUAGAAACUAAAGUUUGUUUUACUAUGAAGAAUAUUAUUUCAUUCAUAUGCCGGUCUGGUAUGUAAGAUUUAAUCAUAUGUGACAUUUCCAUAACAAGAUGAAAUACUGGGUAACUACUGUAGAGUUUCUUACUUAGAAGACACUAGUAUCUGCAGAUGCUAGAUAACAUGGAUAAGAAUUUGAAAGCAUGAUUCUCAUGGAAUGACAGCAGUUAAGAUGCUCACAGAAUUCAAUUGUAUAUGAGAAUGGGUUUCUGUUUUGUCUCUUUUACAUUCAUGUCCACUCAUGGUUCUCAUUAAAGUGGACUAUGACCAGAUAACAGCCCUAUGUAUAAUAUGUAUUUCUUUAGGUAACAGGGACUACAUUUGAAAACACUAAAUAAAGCUUUCUAUUGAUAAACAUAUACUUAUAUACAAUGUAACCCUUACAAAGAUAGCAAAAGAAUGAGAAAAAAUAUGCAGAAUUUCCAAGUGUCUUAAUUUAAAGUUCUUUGGAUUAUCAGAAGGACUUUGGAAUCACGGAUAAUUAUCAUAAAGACAUUUAUUAUUAAUUGGAACCUUAUGGUGUGUAGGCAGCAGGGUGCACAGAGACCUGCCACUAACUCUCCAGCCAAAGGGAGCUGAGUUUAUGGAGCUGCAGUCACGUGUCACAUGCAGUGUUUGCACUUGCCAUUCAUGGUUGUAAGGAUUAAACAGACAAAAACUGUACAUAAAGAACCUAGCACGGCCACUGGCACGUAGUAGGAACACAAAAGAAAAUGGUAUUCCUUGUGAUCUUUUUUAUUUCAUUUAGUCCUCAUAAUGCUUCUGUGACAGCAUUAUCACCAUUCCUGCACGAGGAAACAAGGCUUCAAAAGGAUCAAUAAUUAUGUAAACCCAAGGCUUGUGGGUGGCAGAGAUCCGGCCAGAAUUCAGACUCACACCUGUGUCUCUGCAAAAUCCGAGGGCCAUCCCCACACAACAGGCUUCUCUCAGGGUUCCUAGGACUGAUUCUGUAGUUUAUUGUGGGCCACGCUUUUCAUUUCUCUCCUUCUCUGCCCUACUGGCUGCUCUCACAGCUGUUAGCACCUCUGCCAGGGGUGGGCUGGAGAACAAAAACAGGGGCUGUGUGGGAUUCUUUCUACCCCAGCACCCAGUGCACCGCCGCCCAGCAUGCAUUAGAUAGAUACCAGUUCGUACGUAUGGAACAGAACUUCUCUCUCCAGCUCGCUGCAGCCGCAGAUCCCCUCUGCCCUCCCAUGCUCAGUUCUCUCCUAAGUCCAAGCUGCCGGCUCCUAUCUUCUUAGCACUGUCCCGCUCUCCAAGCCUCCCACUGUGGAAAGGCACAUCCCCAGCUGAAAGCAAGUACCUGAGGUGGAAAAGGGUGUCCCCGACCAGAAGAAGGUUAGCUAUGAUUUUCCCAGUGUUCUUGCCACCCAGGGAAAUGGAGAGCACAGAUCGAGUAUGAUUGAGCUUACACCUCUCCAAGAGGCAACAACAGCAAGCCAUGGAGGCGUUUUUCCUCCCACCCUCUUUGAUGGGAUGAUAGACUGCCCCCUGGUGGCGGCGCAGAGCAGCUCCUCCUCCAAAGCCUUCUGCUUCCGCAGCCCCUGGGGGCCACUUCUGCAGUGCUGCCUCCUCCGGAGGUGUCCCACCGUGGUUAGGAGCAGAGUGUUGGGGUGAUGGCCAUGGAAGCAGUGGCCAUGCAGCCUGAGCCAUGGCAGAACCCCAGAGUGCACCCACAACAAAAGUGAAUCCACUUUGCACCGCAGCUUCCCUCUGCCCUCAGCACAUGCUCUCCCCAUAAAGCCCCCUGCAUCCGUGGUUUCUGAAACGUUUGGCUCCACCUGUACUGGCUGCCUCCCUGCCCUGAGAUAUUUGCACCUUUCCCCCCUGGGCACACAUGCACUCUCAUUUCCAAUCCUCCCUCGAUUCCUUGGCCUGUAAAAUCCCAAGCUUCUGUUGGCUGUCUGCCUGUAACUCUAACCAUCUCACCUUCGCAUUGAAGUGUCACUGGCUGUCUUGAACCAUUAUUUAGUGGUCCUACCUUAUGCCCCCAGCUGGACAUAAGCUAUUUAAAGGCAGGGGCGAUGUAUGACAUGCUUUGUAUCAACUGCAGCACCUUUCACAUGGCAGGGGCUCAAAAAAUAUUUGUUAAGUGGGUGAAAAGC